GACGAACGCUGGCGGCGUGCUUAACACAUGCAAGUCGAACGGAAAGGCCCUGCUUGCAGGGUACUCGAGUGGCGAACGGGUGAGUAACACGUGGGUGAUCUGCCCUGCACUUCGGGAUAAGCUUGGGAAACUGGGUCUAAUACCGGAUAGGACCGCACUUUAGUGUGUGUGGUGGAAAGUUUUUUCGGUGUAGGAUGAGCUCGCGGCCUAUCAGCUUGUUGGUGGGGUAAUGGCCUACCAAGGCGGCGACGGGUAGCCGGCCUGAGAGGGUGUACGGCCACAUUGGGACGGAGAUACGGCCCAGACUCCUACGGGAGGCAGCAGUGGGGAAUAUUGCACAAUGGGCGCAAGCCUGAUGCAGCGACGCCGCGUGGGGGAUGAAGGCAUUCGGGUUGUAAACUCCUUUCGCUAGGGACGAAGCUUUGUUGUGACGGUACCUAGAUAAGAAGCACCGGCUAACUACGUG
rnacentral:rRNA from 1 species